UUAGUUUAUUGCCUAAGACAGGAUUUUACAAACCUACAAAAGAAGUGAAUGUGAGACAGUUGUAAACAUCAGAGUCUCACAAAUGCUCACUGCUCUCACACUGUGACUGUCACUACUGAUUCUAUGGCGCAAACAUGAUAAAAGAUGGCUGUAGCUUCAAGCUUUGGUAAGGGAAGCCUUACACCUGCUUUAUUUUUAAUGACCAGCGGUGGGCGAUUCACAGUUUCAUAUAAGUCUUUGUUUGUGAUUUGUGACAAUGUAAAUGAAAACAUCAAGUUCAUCUUCCACAUCAUGAUAAUUCUAAGAGGCACAUAUGUGGAUUAAGGAGGGUGAAGGAAUACUUUUAAAUAUCAUUUAACAGUUUCCUUGGUAGAAAACUGUGCAGACUGUCAUGAAUGUGUAUUAUGUAAAUGCUUUUUUAAACACAGAAAACCAACAACAACAGCAGCAACAAGAAGAAUUACAGCAGACACUGGCAGACCAACUUUCAGUACAACAGAUCCAUCCUUCUUCCCACCUGCCUCCUUCCCUCCACCCUCCUUCCCUCUAUCCUCCUUCCCUACUGCCUUCUUCCCUCCAUCCUCCUUCCCUCCAGCCUUCUUCCCUCCAACCUUCUUCCCUCCUGGCUCCUUCCUUCCAUUCUCCUCUCCUCCUGCCUCCUUCCCUCCAUCCUCCUUCCCUUCACCCUCUGUGUGUCCUCCUGUCUGACCUGCAGGUGAGAAACAGGUGUGAGG
rnacentral:lncRNA from 1 species